rfam:Picea glauca, whole genome shotgun sequence.
GCUUUCGUAGCUUAGAGGUAGAGCGUUGGCUUCGUAAGCGGAAGGUCGCGAGUUCGAUUCUUGCUGGGAGCU